rnacentral:ncRNA from 1 species
CAUAGCUUUUUAGCAUCAGGUACAAAAAAAGUUUAAUAGGGAAUCCCGUUAAAAUCGGGAGCGGUCCCGCCGCUGUGAACGGGGACGAAAUCCGGUAAAACCACUGUCUUUCGAGAUGGGAAGGACCGGAGAGUAGAGAGAUCCGUGAGCCAGAAGACCUGCCUGAUGCUUGUUGAGGGAA